UCAUUUGUAUUUGUCUUAUCUUUCGUUGCGACUAAAUCUUUUUACUUUGUCUCUUUGCUGUGCAGUUGCAAUGUGACGCAGCCUUUUCGUUCUGUUUCUUUACCAACGCAUUUACCACGGACUACGAGUUUAUAUCUGCGCGCGUGCACGCCACGACCUUCUGUGGCGCUGUCGGCACUCCCUUAAGGCUGAGGAGCAAAGUUUUCACUUUGUGACUUCUGCCAGAUAUAUAUAUUUUCCUGUUUGCGCUUUCAAGAAGAUAGCCACGAGAGUUGGCUUGAAAUUACUACAAAGUAUCGUCGUUCCUGUCCCAUUCUUGGGACGAUUUGGCAUCGCGACACCCUCGUAUCUUCGUCACGGUACAAAAGGGCUUCUUGUAACUUCAGGAAAAGCAUGGAUUAAAGGGUUAUCUUUACUAUUCUUCAGUCAUCAGCGCUCGCGUCUUUUUAAUCAGAAAUUAAUUGGAAAAUCUCUGUUGUUCAGAAUCUCUCCUGGGACGUCAGAGUAGAACCUGAGACUAAUGCACUUUUGUUUAUCCAGGCUGCAAUUUAGUAUCCCACCAGCGGGAAAAUCGUUUGGUACGCCUUAUUAUUGAUGCCGGAGGGAACAUUUUUUGCCUUUACACAGGAAAAGUCGAUAGGCCGAAUGUAUAAAGACGGUAAAUACGGGGGUAUAAGGUAGGCAAAGGUUACUUGGGGAAAGUUCUGCCGCCGGGAAAUGGUAUAGGAUUGGUUCAAUCCCAAAGGGGGUUACGAGAUUUGCAUCUUUUGAAUAUAUCAAUAUAGGUAUAUAUAUAUUGCGUGCGUGGCUUUACGUUUUAAGUCAAGGUCUCGCAAAGCGAUGAGAUUCGAGUCAGGUAGCUGGAACGGGUGUCGCUUAACUAUAUAAGUUACAAACUCUAAAGUAUAUGAUACAUAUUAAUAUAUUGUACAAACUAUUAACUAACAAGUGUAAAGUAUAGGCUUUGGUAUGAUCAGUGUAAACCAUCGUUUAGUGUUAUACGAAAAGCAAUUUGAUAAAUGCCGAAAUCCUACGAUUUUAUUAAACAAGUGACGUAUGCAUGUAGUCAAACCAAUGUAUAAUACGGAUGUAAUGUUUAUUAUCAAUUUAAAAAAAAUUCCCAAAUGAAUAUCGCAAUUUAUACUGAUUCUGAACGUCAAUCGAAUGUCCCAACUAUGUAAAUCACACAUUAGGAUGCUCACUGCGCCAAUGAGAAUUAAUUUCUGCACUGGAAUUACACGAUGACCAGAAAAAAAGGCAAAAAAUGUAACACGAUCCAGUAGACAAGAAUUGAAAGGGUAGGAUAACAAAAAAGAAAUAUAAUCGUCGAAAUUGAUUUACCGAAAUCGUUUACGGCUACGUAGUCGAGAUUGCGAGGCUGAUUGAAUUUCUAGAAUUGCUGGUAAUCCGCGAAUAUCUUCUAGAGCGUAUUUGAAUUUUUCAUAUAUUUUUUUUUACCAUCAUAUGAAUUACUGCUACUCACUGAAUGUCAGAUAUUUUCAAUUUUAUUUCAUAGUUAUUUCACUUGUAUCUGUGUUAAUUUCUGUAUGCAGGUGACGGUUCUUGCAAGUAGGGAAAUGCAGAUGAUGCAAUUCGCUUCGUGUUUAUACUGCAUGUGCAUGAUCUUUAGGUUGACAUGCAUAUAUGUAUAACGUAUUUGCACUUCAUGUAUUUCUGUCAUAGAGCACGUUGCAUAAUUCACGAAGAGAAUUUCACUAUGACUAUCAGUGACUAUUUCACUGAUCGAUCAGAGUCAUGCGAAUGGGAAAUUUUAUUAAUUGAUAUAAAGCGAAAGAACAAACUGGAGCAAAAUAAAAUAAAAUAAAAAGAAUUUAAUUUCGCGAUGGAGUUUCAUGAUCUUCCAAUUUGUUAUUUUUACAGCAGCCUUUGUAUGCCAGAGAUGAGUGCCUUCGUGUUUUUCAUUUUAGCUUGAAAAUAUUUCAAAAGCAUUAGGUCGAUAUUGCCUGUCUAUCCGUAAAAUAUAAAUUUUUACACUUUCAAUCCAAUAGAAACGUCUAUUAUGUAAAACAAAGUCUAACGGCGUAUCGAGGGGCAACGGAUUUAAUUUUAUACACAUUUUUUUUUGUGUACGUCUAUUUUUCAACGCUAUUGUACACAUUUUUUUUUCUGGCAAAAAUCUCGUUUUACAAUUUUUAUAAUAAAAAAUUACAAUAGAUAUCUACAUCCAUAUAAGCCAUCGGCGAAGUACUCUUUUUCGCGUACUGCUUUUUAAAAAAUUGUUGAUUCGUGUGAAAUCCAACAUGAAUGCUAUGACAGAGUGCACGUUAUUAUUGAUACUUUUUAUUAUUCUCUUAUUUCUUCUACGAUAGAGAAUGAAUUUUUCACAAUAUUAUUGAUCCUCAUGGAACAGACAAUUGCCCAAAAAUAGUAUACCAUCGAAAAUCUCUGACUACUGCAAAUAUAUCUACACACUGAAAUCUCCAUUAUCCGCGGAGAGAACGUUUUAUUUAAAUCUUGUCAAAUACAGAGCAGCGACGUGUCAUCGCUGUGACAAAGUUUUAAUUUUAUUUUGUCACGCGGUCGUGACUGCGUCCACAGCGUCCUUAUUAUACGAAUACACUAGUUGGUUUGGUUUCAAAAAUUAAAAAGGAGAAUAAUAAAGAGAAGAUGACCAAGAGGAGAGGAAAAAAAUUGGGUCCUACCAGGUCCAUUUCCGUAAGGCCCCCCAUCAUAGAUCUAUAUCCAUUGGGUGGUACAAGUCCUCCGUGGUCUGACUGGAGACCAGGGGUUAAAUAAAAAAAAGUGAUUUCAAACCAAAAGUCACGAGAUCCAGGGUACAAGAAAUCAGCAGCAAAAGGACACAGGAAGUCAAGCCGAGCAAUAGAAAAUAUGCAAAAAGUCGUCCCUCCUCAAUCCUCUCAUCCCCGAGUCAGCUUCAUUACACGAAGGACCGUGUUGGUUCCGCACCCUGAGAAGACUUGCAGAUCCUCCUCAAGAGUUUCGACCCUGUGAGUGUGAGCUCAGCAGAUAAGGUAGAAAGACAAUCCUCGUCUUUCAUGGUUAAAUGACAGGGUGGAAAAGCACCAGCAAUCAUUCGGCAUUUCCAUAUUUCGUGACGUCACUUCCUUACCCUAGUAUGCAUGAGAAAGGCUUCCAAGGCCCCAGUGGCCACGUUAAAAUAAUGUCUUCUAGCUACGCUCCUGAAUAUCAGAGCUAAUGAAUGUAAUGAAAAAGGAUAAUUACAAUUCAGUCAUCUUUUGUUUAAGAAAAAUCUUUGGAAAUUCCAAAAAUGUCGGCGUAGCUCCGUUUGGAUUUUGUCCCUGAGCAAGGGACUGAGAGGUGUGAAUUUUUGAAAUUCCAGGAAUACCUACUGGAAGGGACGUCGAUAUUUGUCCAGGAAAUAGAAUACCAGGAUGAACGACUAUGUAUCCUCGUAUCCGCCUACCAAUGUCUACAUUACAUGAUUAGAAUCAUACCGAUAGGACAGUGCGACUGGCAUAACACAGAUACAUUAGCACGCUGAGGUCAGGCUACUUUGACGGUGAAAUUGCAAUGCGAAAUUGCGUCGUGCUUCGGCACACAGUUAUAUAAUAUACACAGUGUAUUCAGAUAGCAAUUAAAACCUGACAGUCCAUUCGAGUGGACUUUGUGCGUUAGAAGAAUGACGGCAGUUCAUUCCCGAUUAUUAAUAUAGCUCCAAGCGCCGGCUGGUGUUUUACUUUAUUGUUAUUUUUCAUACUUUUUUUUUUCCUCGGAAUAUAUACAGGAUUCGUUAAACGUAGAACAGCUCGAAUUUUUGUAAGGCAGAUUUUAUAAUUUUGUUCUCUUUAUCCACUACCGGUUCAGCUUCCGUAUUUAUUUCUCGCUUGGGCUCCCAUUGCAUCUUGUAUUGUUAUAUGUCUUUGUUUAUUUUAAUUCGCUCGCAGCAAGCUUCCUUUAAUUUUAUUAUUUAAGUGCAUUACAACGAUAUCGAAGUCAUUCUGAAACUCAAUGAUUUGAAAGUCUAUGCUUGCUUUGACAGCUCACUGAUCCGUUAUACAGUUUGGUUUAUAUCGACUUCACGCUCGAACGGACCAGUCGAACUGUCGCCAUUUGGUAAAUACAGCUGUGAGUAGUAGGAGCCAUGGUUCUACUUGCCUUUGGCUAGAAAUCAUUGACCGUGGAUACUAGAUUGGUUAUUGCGUUGCCAUUUGCCAUUUACAAUGUUACGUAAUAUAAUU